rnacentral:tRNA from 1 species
AAGCAAGAAACUACAAAGUAUUAUGGUUUCGGCCCAUAAAUAGGUAUAUUUCCCAUACCCUCGCUUU